rnacentral:rRNA from 1 species
CUACGGGGCGCUGCAGUGAGGAAUAUUGCACCAUGGUUGCCCCCCUUCUUCAUCCCCUCCUCGUGGAGGAUGACGCAUUUCGGUGUGUAAACUCCUUUUAUAUGUCAAGAAAAUGACGGUAGCAUAUGAAUAAGCACCGGCUAACUCCGUGCCAGCAGCCGCGGUAAUACGGAGGGUGCAAGCGUUACUCGGAAUCACUUGGCGUAAAGUAGCGUAGGCGGGUUGGAAAGUCAGGUGUGAAAUCCUACAGCUUAACUGUAGAACUGCACUUGAAACUUCUAAUCUAGAGUAUGGGAGGGGGAGAUGGAAUUAGUGGUGUAGGGGUAAAAUCCGUAGAUAUCACUAGGAAUACCUAAAGCGAAGGCGAUCUCCUGGAACAUUACUGACGCUAAGGCGUGAAAGCGUGGGGAGCAAACAGGAUUAGAUACCCGAGUAGUC